rnacentral:tRNA from 1 species
GGGGCUGUAGCUCAGUGGUAGAGCACUCGCCUCACAUGUGGAAGGCAGGCACUGGGUUCGAUCCUCAGCACCA